UACGGGAGGCAGCAGUGGGGAAUAUUGCACAAUGGGCGAAAGCCUGAUGCAGCUAUGCCGCGUGUAUGAAGAAGGCCUUAGGGUUGUAAAGUACUUUCAUCGGGGAGGAAAAAACAAAACUAAUAAUUUUAUUUCUUGACGUUACCCGAAAAAGAAGCACCGGCUAACUCCGUGCCAGCAGCCGCGGUAAUACGGAGGGUGCUAGCGUUAAUCAGAAUUACUGGGCGUAAAGAGCACGUAGGUGGUUUUUUUAAAGUCAGAUGUGAAAUCCCUGGGCUUAACCUGGAACUGCAUUUUGAAACUGAAAUACUAGAGUAUCGUAGAGGGAGGUAGAAUUCUAGGUGUAGCGGUGAAAUGCGUAGAUAUCUGGAGGAAUACCUGUGGCGAAAGCGGCCUCCUAAACGAAUACUGACGCUGAGGUGCGAAAGCGUGGGGAGCAAACAGGGAUUAGAUACC
rnacentral:rRNA from 1 species